GCACUUUAAGCAGUGAAGAAGACUCUAUGGUUAAUACCCAUAGACGAUGACAUUAGCUGCAGAAUAAGCACCGGCUAACUCUGUGCCAGCAGCCGCGGUAAUACAGAGGGUGCAAGCGUUAAUCGGAAUUACUGGGCGUAAGGCGAGCGUAGGUGGCUUGAUAAGUCAGAUGUGAAAGCCCCGGGCUUAACCUGGGAACGGCAUCUGAUACUGUUAGGCUAGAGUAGGUGAGAGGAAGGUAGAAUUCCAGGUGUAGCGGUGAAAUGCGUAGAGAUCUGGAGGAAUACCGAUGGCGAAGGCAGCCUUCUGGCAUCAUACUGACACUGAGGUUCGAAAGCGUGGGUAGCAAACAGGAUUAGAUACCCUGGUAGUCCACGCCGUAAACGAUGUCUACUAGUCGUUGG
rnacentral:rRNA from 1 species